rnacentral:rRNA from 1 species
UAGUUUACUACAGAAAAUGACUGAGCGGCGAACGGGUGAGUAACGCGUGAGCAAUCUACCUUAGUUACAGGGAUAGCCCGAGGAAACUCGGAUUAAUACCUGAUAUUCUUUAAAUUUCGCAUGAAAUUAAAAGGAAAGGUCAGCCGAACUAAGAUGAGCUCGCGUUCUAUCAGCUAGUUGGUGAGGUAAAAGCUCACCAAGGCAACGACGGAUAGCUGGUCUGAGAGGACGAUCAGCCACACUGGGACUGAGACACGGCCCAGACUCCUACGGGAGGCUGCAGCAGGGAAUAUUGCGCAAUGAGCGAAAGCUUGACGCAGCGACACCGCGUGUGGGAUGACGGAUCUAGGUUUGUAAACCACUUUCAGGAGGGAAGAAAAUGACGGUACCUCCACAAGAAGCCCCGGCCAACUACGUGCCAGCAGCCGCGGUAAUACGUAGGGGGCGAGCGUUGUCCGGAUUUAUUGGGCGUAAAGAGCUCGUAGGCGGUUCAACAAGUCGGUCGUAAAAGUUCAGGGCUCAACCCUGAAAUGUCGAUCGAUACUGUUGUGACUAGGAUACGGUAGAGGUGAGUGGAAUUCCGAGUGUAGCGGUGAAAUGCGUAGAUAUUCGGAGGAACACCAAUUGCGAAGGCAGCUCACUGGGCCGCUAUCGACGCUGAGGAGCGAAAGCUGGGGGAGCAAACAGGAUUAGAUACCCUGGUAGUCCUAGCUGUAAACGAUGGAUACUAGACGUAGGAACUGGAUUGACGGUUUCUGUGUCGUAGCUAACGCGUUAAGUAUCCCGCCUGGGGAGUACGGUCGCAAGACUAAAACUCAAAGGAAUUGACGGGACCCCGCACAAGCGGCGGAGCAUGCGGCUUAAUUCGAUGAUACCCGUAGAACCUUACCUGGACUUGACAUAUAGGGUCAAGCUAUAGAGAUAUAGUGUGCAUUAGCGCCCUAUACAGGUGGUGCAUGGCUGUCGUCAGCUCGUGUCGU